rnacentral:rRNA from 1 species
UGGGGAAUUUUGGACAAUGGGGGAAACCCUGAUCCAGCCAUCCCGCGUGUGCGAUGAAGGUCUUCGGUUUGUAAAGCACUUUUGGCAGGAAAGAAACGUCAUGGGUUAAUACCCCGUGAAACUGACGGUACCUGCAGAAUAAGCACCGGCUAACUACGUGCCAGCAGCCGCGGUAAUACGUAGGGUGCAAGCGUUAAUCGGAAUUACUGGGCGUAAAGCGUGCGCAGGCGGUUCGGAAAGAAAGAUGUGAAAUCCCAGAGCUCAACUUUGGAACUGCAUUUUUAACUACCGGGCUAGAGUGUGUCAGAGGGAGGUGGAAUUCCGCGUGUAGCAGUGAAAUGCGUAGAUAUGCGGAGGAACACCGAUGGCGAAGGCAGCCUCCUGGGAUAACACUGACGCUCAUGCACGAAAGCGUGGGGAGCAAACAGG